rnacentral:rRNA from 1 species
UACGGAGGGUGCAAGCGUUGUCCGGAUUUAUUGGGUUUAAAGGGUGCGUAGGCGGCCCUGUAAGUCAGUGGUGAAAUACUGCAGCUUAACUGUAGCAUUGCCAUUGAUACUGUAGGGCUUGAGCACAGUAGAGGCAGGUGGAAUUCCCGGUGUAGCGGUGGAAUGCGUAGAGAUCGGGAAGAACAUCAGUGGCGAAGGCGGCCUGCUGGGCUGUUGCUGGACACUGAUGCGCGACAGCGUGGGGAGCAAACAGG